rnacentral:lncRNA from 1 species
GGAACCAGAGCCUACCCGGCAACACAGGGCAUAAGGCUGGAGGGGGAGAGGACACACCCAGGACGGGAUGCCAGUCCGUCACAAGGCACCCCAAGCGGGACUUGAACCCCAGACCCACUGGAGAGCAGGACCCGGUCCAACCCACUGCGCCACCACACCCCCCUGUCUCCGGGCAACAGUCGGAGAAGACAGCUACUGCUUGAAUGCCUGGUCCUGCUGGCACUGUGGAGCACAGACAGACAAAAAUGCCUGCAGUGCCUGCAGCCUGCAGACAUGGCAUGGCGUUAAGAAGCAAGAGUUCCCUCCCCUCAUGGAUGCUGGAUGCUCAAGAACAUGUCAGUCACAAAGAAAGUCUACCUGUUCUAAAAGCUGAAGUGAUGAGACAUGUAGAGCUGAAAGACAAUAUCAUUACAAGGGUCUUCAUUACAGCUUUACUCACUGCCUAAAAGUCUUCUGUUAUUGCUGCUCAUACUUACUAAAUCAAACACAAAAACGCUUUCAAUGAAAACAUAGUAUUAACUGUACAUAUAGUGUGAAGGAAUAUAUGUUAAUAUACCACAGGCUAUAAAAACUAAAGUAACUGGGUUAAGGGUUAUUACAGCACACAACCCUCCAAUGACUGACACUACAGAGUUGUCUUAAUGUGACAACUUCCAGGUUGUCCCUGCAUUUCUUCACAUAUCUGAGGUGACUGGUUUCACAGUCGGAUAGAAGAGAUACAUGUAUAGUCAGUCCUUUUUUGAAUAAAUGAUGACUUUUUAUUUAUUAUUAUGUUCA